rnacentral:lncRNA from 1 species
UAUAAUAGCAGAUGUUUCUAUAUUUUUUACUGAUCAUGCAAAAGUUACAUGUACAAAUAUCGAAGUGGAUGGGAGGUUAUCCAACUCAUCGGAGAAAUAUUAUUAUGAGAUUGCAAAUGAAACAUCCUUGUUUACGUUUCUUCGUUCCCCGUUUUUAACAGUCCCUUCAUAAAUAUAACUCAUUUAAUCAUGAAUUUUAAUCUUAAUUUACCUUGUUUGCCUUGGAUUUACAUUCAUGAUCUAAGAUUCUGUUUUGACAAAUGUUCAAACGAAAAUUGUACAGUGGAUGAAUUAUUGGAUAUCAUAGUAAUGAACACAGUGU